UUUAAUCAGUUGUUUUAUGUUCUUUUCUUUGAAUUAACAUCUGGGUUGUGAUUGAAUUGCUGAAAUUUGUGUUCUUUAGCACUUAGCUUUUAGGGUUUAGAUUAAGUUACUGAUAGGCUUAAUCAAAAUUUUCUAUUUGCAGCUUAUAAGUGGUGAAACCACUGUUUCCCAUCUGGCUAGGGUCGCAAAUUGGGUAAAAAAACCCAGUUUUCCUCUGCUUCUCUAGCUUUUGCAUGUUCCUCUUUGUUUUUGGCUAAAAUGGACGAUGGUGAGGUAGAUUUUUCACAGCAAGAAGUGUUUUCUAACACGAACAUUGGUGACAUUCAGCCCAAUUGCUCUAUGGAUAAUUUCUUUGAGGAACUAUUCAAGGAUAGUCAUGCCUGUACUCACACACAUACUUGCAACCCUCCUGGUCCUGAUUUUUCUCAUACGCAUACUUGCUUUCAUGUGCACACCAAAAUUGUUUCUGCACCUUCGGAUGAUAAGACUGCAACUGAUGAUACUGCGGAGUCUACUGAAAAGAAGUCAAAGAAACGCCCAUUAGGCAAUAGAGAGGCCGUCAGGAAGUAUAGGGAGAAGAAGAAGGCAAGGGCUGCAUCUUUGGAGGAUGAAGUUGUGAAAUUAAGGGCUUUGAAUCAGCAGUUACUUAAGAGGCUGCAGGGACAAGCUGCAUUGGAAGCUGAGGUUGCUAGGCUCAAGUGUUUGCUUGUGGACAUAAGGGGCAGGAUUGAAGGGGAGAUUGGAUCUUUUCCAUAUCAGAAAUCCACUAAUGAUGUGAGCUUGGCCAAUCCAAAUUUGCCUGGUGCUUAUGUGAUGAAUCCAUGUAAUAUGCAAUGUAAUGGUCAGGUUUAUUGCCUGCAUCCAUCAAUGGAUGGAAAGAGUGGGGAAAGCAGUGAAGGUAUUGCCUUAAAUGGGCAAGGAUAUAGUGGUUGUGAGUUUGAUAAUCUUCAAUGCCUAGCAAGUCAAAACACAGGCGUGAAGGAUCUCUCUGGUUGUGGACUUGGGACUGUGUUAACAAAUGGCAAUGGCAAUUCUUCUGGCACAAAUAAGAGGAAAGGUGGGGCUCGUGCAGCAACAGGAGGUUGAAUAGCUGUUUGUGAGGGUAUUCUUCUUUUUCAUGAGGGUGCAUAUUGCCUUCUAGCCAUGUUGAGCUGCUGAAUCUACUUCCUCGUGUUGCUUUCUUAGGUUUGAAUUUAGGGAAGGGCCCCAGGUUUUAUCUAUGAACCGGACAGAUAGUUGUUCGUAAGUGAGGCAAUGUGAAAUUUGUGCUGGGUCUGGGACCUCACCAACAACCAUGUUUGAGCCAGAAACAGCAAGGCAUGGAGGAUAUUGUUUAUGGUGUAUUUGUUUCUGCUCUGUGGUUAUUUUUUUCUCAAAAUUUUGUUCAGAUGGCUAACUUGUUGAUCUGUUCUAAAUGUUAGACAGAAAAAAAAUACUAACCUCAGCUGCAUAUCAUUUUUGUAUUGUCGUUUUGGCCAAAUAGAAAAGAGGAUAGGAUAUUGUUUAGUUAACAAUUUUUCAAGUAGAUUGAGCAUAUUUUUGUUAUGACAAAUUUAUUUUUGAAAGUGAUCCACAA